rnacentral:tRNA from 1 species
AGUAGAAUAGUUGAGACCAACAUUAAAUUGCAGAUUUAAAAACGUAAUAAUAAUUACUUCUACUU